rnacentral:rRNA from 1 species
UACGUAGGGGGCAAGCGUUGUCCGGAUUUAUUGGGCGUAAAGAGCGUGUAGGCGGCCAUACAGGUCAGCUGUGAAAACUCGAGGCUCAACCUCGAGACGUCGGUUGAAACCGUAUGGCUAGAGUCCGGAAGAGGAGAGUGGAAUUCCCGGUGUAGCGGUGAAAUGCGCAGAUAUCAGGAGGAACACCGGUGGCGAAGGCGGUUCUCUGGGCCGAUAUUGACGCUGAGGAGCGAAAGCGUGGGGAGCGAACAGG